rnacentral:lncRNA from 1 species
GGAGGCUUACCUCACUCUCUCUUCGGGUUGCAUUCGCCAUAAGAGAGCCGGUAGACCCCUGAAAUCCCGGGACCGCCUCCCACGCAAAACACGGAGUCUAGCUCUGUCACCAGGCUGGAGCACAGUGGCAUGAUCUCGACUCACUGCAACCUCCACUGAAGAAGGAAUUCAUGAAUUUUACAAGUAUAAUCAAAGACCACCAAGAAAUUUUUACUUUUUCCUUCAAAAGCUAAGUGUAGUGUAGCACCCCCUGCCCAUAGUCUAAGUUACAGAAGAAUACUAACUGCCUGUUUUUCUUUCUGUGUUGUGAGCCUUAUCUGUUCUCACCAGUUUCACAUUCCUUGAGGCUCAGUGAGUUCCUGCGCACCUCCCUAGCACAGCUGCAAAGUUACAAGGUUGAUAUGCAUAUGUUACAGAAACAUAGUUUCCCAAGGAUGUGGAACAUGUAGUAUAGAUAAAUGUAAAAGACUGAUCAACUGCCUUUGUUCUCGCUUGUGUAAGUAGACUUCAUGAAUCACAUAGCUCCCGGCCACUGACUGCUUAAAAGGUGGCUGCAUUCUUUCUCCAGGGCUCAGACUUUCCUGGACGCUAGUCCUACUGAGCCAGGUGAUCCCCUUAAUAAAGGCUUUCCUGAACUCUC